rnacentral:rRNA from 1 species
AAUCAACGCUGGCGGCGUGCCUCAGACAUGCAAGCCGAACGAUUAAAGCUCUCUUCGGAGAGUGUAUAGAGUGGCGCACGGGUGAGUAACACGUAAGUAAUCUACCUUCGAGUGGGGAAUAACGUCCGGAAACGGACGCUAAUACCGCAUAAUGCAGCGGCAUCGCAAGAUGACAGUUGUUAAAGAUUUAUCGCUUGAAGAGGAGCUUGCGGCAGAUUAGCUAGUUGGUAAGGUAAUGGCUUACCAAGGCUACGAUCUGUAACCGGUCUAAGAGGACGGUCGGUCACACUGACACUGAAUAACGGGUCAGACUCCUACGGGAGGCAGCAGUCGGGAAUUUUGGGC